CAAAUAGGCUGGGGGUGCUGCCCAGAGGCGGCUGAGAGGACCCAAAGGUCCAACCCUUGAACCUGAUGCGGAUAAUGCCGCCGUAGGUAAGCAAGACGUGCCUCAC
rnacentral:ncRNA from 1 species